rnacentral:snRNA from 1 species
GUGCUCCCUUCAGCAGCACAUUUACCAAAAUUGGAACAACACAGAGAUUAGCAUGGUCCCUGCGCAAGGAUGACACGCAAACUCGUGAAGCAUUCCAUGAUUUU